rnacentral:ncRNA from 1 species
CGUCGCGAGGCGGAAUCUGAAGGAAGUUGGAGGCAAAACUCGGGCCCGACGAACAGGAAUCAUGUCAGGCCGUAAGCGAGGGCAAGACUGCCAGACAAGCCAAAGCCCAAUAGCUGCACGGAAUCGCUUGCGGUAAACAUGGCGGGUAUAAGAGUGAAAGAAUGU